AAAUAAAGUAGUUGAUAUUAUUGACAACGCUAUCACGAAUUUCUAUCAAAACGAGUAAUUAAACUCAAUUGAUAAAACAGGAUAGAAAACUUCAAUCUGACUGAUGUUAUCAUAUUUGAAUAUAGUUUAAAUAUAUUCGUUCUAUAUUUAAUCGACGCAUCAGAACUGCCUUCACCCGAACAAAAUAACGUGAACGAAAAAAAAAAACGCAACAACAACACUCUACCUUGUAUUCUUCAGUUGGAUUUAUUUGUUGUAUACCAAACAUUGAAUGCGCACC